rnacentral:rRNA from 1 species
GACGAACGCUGGCGGCGUGCUUAACACAUGCAAGUCGAGCGGUAAGGCCCUUUCGGGGGUACACGAGCGGCGAACGGGUGAGUAACACGUGGGUGACCUGCCCUCAGCUCUGGGAUAAGCCUGGGAAACCGGGUCUAAUACUGGAUAUGACUCCAUGACGCAUGUUGUGGGGUGGAAAGCCUUGUGCGGCUGGAGAUGGGCCCGCGGCCUAUCAGCUUGUUGGUGGGGGAUGGCCUACCAAGGCGACGACGGGUAGCCGGCCUGAGAGGGCGACCGGCCACACUGGGACUGAGACACGGCCCAGACUCCUACGGGAGGCAGCAGUGGGGAAUCUUGCGCAAUGGGCGAAAGCCUGACGCAGCGACGCCGCGUGAGGGAUGACGGCCUGGUGU